GGGGGGUGCAAGCGUUAUUCGGAAUCACUGGGCGUAAAGAGCGCGUAGGCGGUCUCUUAAGUCAGAUGUGAAAGCCCGGGGCUCAACCCCGGAAGUGCAUUUGAAACGAAGGGACUUGAGUAUGGGAGAGGGAAGUGGAAUUCCUGGUGUAGCGGUGAAAUGCGUAGAUAUCAGGAGGAACACCGGUGGCGAUGGCGACUUCCUGGACCAAUACUGACGCUGAGGCGCGAAGGCGUGGGGAGCAAACAGGAUUAGAUACCCUGGUAGUCCACGCAGUAAACGUUGAACACUAGGUGUAGCGGGUAUUGACCCCUGCUGUGCCGCAGCUAACGCAUUAAGUGUUCCGCCUGGGGAGUACGGCCGCAAGGCUA
rnacentral:rRNA from 1 species